UCCUUGGCAGCCUAAUGAUUAAGACUCUGUACUUGCACUGCAGAGGACUCAGGUUCAAUCCCUGGUCAAGGAA
rnacentral:tRNA from 1 species